UUUGGCUAUAAAAAUUACGAGGUAGUUGACAAAAAACGAGUUGCAAUUUGCAAAACAUGCUGGUCGAAGAUUACAGACGGAGCUGCCACAACGUCCAACUUUGUUCGCCACCUGAAGUUGCACAAAGAAAGGUGGUGUUUUCUGUGUUGAGCUCACUCAACCUUCAUCUAUGGUUGUGAAA